AAUCUAUCUUCUGUAGUCAAUACGUUUGUUUAACUGUUUAUUUUUACCAAUGAGUUUGUAUGAAGUGUGUGGCAAAACUGCUCAGGGUACAAAGGCUAGUGUAUAUCCACUUUCCAUUGAUGAAGUGGUGAACCAAUUAAUAAAUUUUCAUUGCUCAUUUGAGCAGUUCAA